rnacentral:tRNA from 1 species
UCCCUGGUAGCUCAGACGGUAAAGCGUCUGCCUUCAAUGCAGGAGACCUGGGUUCGAUCCCUGGGUUGGGAA